GAUGAAGAACGUAGUGAAAUGCGAUACUUGGUGUGAAUUGCAGAAUCCCGUGAACCAUCGAGUCUUUGAACGCAAGUUGCGCCCGAAGCCACUAGGCCGAGGGCACGCCUGCCUGGGCGUCACACGUCGUUCCCCCCCCAUCUACUCCUUCGGGAUUGCAGGGGGCGGAUGAUGGCCUCCCGUGCGCCUAGCCGCGCGGUUGGCAUAAAUACCAAGUCCUCGGCGACGCACGCCACGACAAUCGGUGGUUGCGAAACCUCGGUUGCCCGUCGUGUGCGUUCGUCGCGCAUCGAGGGCUCGAAAAAAUGCUCGGCUCCGGCUGGGCUUUCAACGCGACCCCAGGUCAGGCGGGGUUACCCGCUGAAUUUAAGCAUAUCAAUAAGCGGAGGA
rnacentral:misc_RNA from 1 species